rnacentral:rRNA from 1 species
CACGUACUAAAUUAAAAGCAAUUUAAAGGGGGUACAGCCCCUUUAAAAAAGAAAACAAUCUCUACCAGAGGAUAAGCACCCAUCCCCUAAACUUGUAGGCCUUAAAGCAGCCACCAACCAAGAAUGCGUCAAAGCUCCAGACUAAAAAAAUCCAAAAACCACGCGAUUCCCUCAUUAAUAGCAGGCCAACCUAUAAAACAUAGGAGAAUUAAUGCUAAAAUAAGUAACCAAGGAAAACUCCUCUAAAGCACAAACUUACAUACCACAUUAUUAACAGACUAACUAAUACCCUGCAGGCCCAACAAGACUUAAUAUUCAAAUCAACUGUUAACCCAACUCAGGAGUGCUAGACUAGAAAGAUUUAAACCUAUAAAAGGAACUAGGCAAACGCAUAAGGCCCGACUGUUUACCAAAAACAUAGCCUUCAGCCCAACAAGUAUUGAAGGUGAUGCCUGCCCGGUGACACCAAGUUUAACGGCCGCGGUAUCCUAACCGUGCAAAGGUAGCGCAAUCAAUUGUCUCAUAAAUCGAGACUUGUAUGAACGGCUAAACGAGGUCUUAACUGUCUCUUAUAGGUAAUCAGUGAAAUUGAUCCCCUCGUGCAAAAGCGCGGAUAUACACAUAAGACGAGAAGACCCUGUGGAACUUAAAAAUCACUAGCCACUCAAAACCAACAAUCCAUCUUAGGCCUACCCCGGGCCGCAACUAAACUAAACAGCUGGCCUACAUUUUUCGGUUGGGGCGACCUUGGAGAAAAACAAAUCCUCCAAAAACAAGAUUACACCUCUUAACCAAGAGCAACACCUCAAAGUACUAACAGUAACCAGACCCAGUAUAACUGACCAAUGGACCAAGCUACCCCAGGGAUAACAGCGCAAUCCCCUCCAAGAGCCCAUAUCGACAAGGGGGUUUAC